GACGAACGCUGGCGGCGUGCUUAACACAUGCAAGUCGAACGGAAAGACCCUGCUUUUGUGGGGUGCUCGAGUGGCGAACGGGUGAGUAACACGUGAGUAACCUGCCCUUGACUUUGGGAUAACUUCAGGAAACUGGGGCUAAUACCGGAUAGGAGCUCCUGCUGCAUGGUGGGGGUUGGAAAGUUUCGGCGGUUGGGGAUGGACUCGCGGCUUAUCAGCUUGUUGGUGGGGUAGUGGCUUACCAAGGCUUUGACGGGUAGCCGGCCUGAGAGGGUGACGGGCCACAUUGGGACUGAGAUACGGCCCAGACUCCUACGGGAGGCAGCAGUGGGGAAGAUUGCACAAUGGGCGGAAGCCUGAUGCAGCAACGCCGCGUGCGGGAUGACGGCCUUCGGGUUGUAAACCGCUUUCGCCUGUGACGAAGCGUGAGUGACGGUAAUGGGUAAAGAAGCAACGGCUAACUACGUG
rnacentral:rRNA from 1 species